rnacentral:rRNA from 1 species
GACGAACGCUGGCGGCGUGCUUAACACAUGCAAGUCGAACGGAAAGGCCCUGCUUUUGUGGGGUGCUCGAGUGGCGAACGGGUGAGUAACACGUGAGUAACCUGCCCUUGACUUUGGGAUAACUUCAGGAAACUGGGGCUAAUACCGGAUAGGAGCUCCUGCUGCAUGGUGGGGGUUGGAAAGUUUCGGCGGUGGGGGAUGGACUCGCGGCUUAUCAGCUUGUUGGUGGGGCAGUGGCUUACCAAGGCGUUGACGGGUAGCCGGGCUGAGAGGGUGAGCGGCCACAUUGGGACUGUGAUACGGCCCAGACUCCUCCGGGAGGCAGCGGUGGGGAAUAUUGCACAAUGGGCGGAAGCCUGAUGCAGCAACACCGCGUGCGGGAUGACGGCCUUCGGGUUGUAAACCGCUUUCGCCGGUGACGAAGCGUGAGUGACGGUAAUGGGUAAAGAAGCACCGGCUAACUACGUG